rnacentral:rRNA from 2 species
CAAGUCGAACGAUACUUUCUUACACCGAAUGCUUGCAUUCACCGUAAGAAGUUGAGUGGCGGACGGGUGAGUAACACGUGGGUAACCUGCCUAAAAGAAGGGGAUAACACUUGGAAACAGGUGCUAAUACCGUAUAUCUCUAAGGAUCGCAUGAUCCUUACAUGAAAGAUGGUUCUGCUAUCGCUUUUAGAUGGACCCGCGGCGUAUUAACUAGUUGGUGGGGUAACGGCCUACCAAGGUGAUGAUACGUAGCCGAACUGAGAGGUUGAUCGGCCACAUUGGGACUGAGACACGGCCCAAACUCCUACGGGAGGCAGCGGUAGGGAAUCUUCCACAAUGGACGCAAGUCUGAUGGAGCAACGCCGCGUGAGUGAAGAAGGUCUUCGGAUCGUAAAACUCUGUUGUUAGAGAAGAACACGAGUGAGAGUAACUGUUCAUUCAAUGACGGUAUCUAACCAGCAAGUCACGGCUAACUACGUGCCAGCAGCCGCGGUAAUACGUAGGUGGCAAGCGUUGUCCGGAUUUAUUGGGCGUAAAGGGAACGCAGGCGGUCUUUUAAGUCUGAUGUGAAAGCCUUCGGCUUAACCGGAGUAGUGCAUUGGAGACUGGAAGACUUGAGUGCAGAAUAGGAGAGUGAAACUCCAUGUGUAGCGGUGAAAUGCGUAGAUAUAUGGAAGAACACCAGUGGCGAAAGCGGCUCUCUGGUCUGUAACUGACGCUGAGGUUCGAAAGCGUGAGUAGCAAACACGAUUAGAUACCCUGGUAGUCCACGCCGUAAACGAUGAAUGCUAGGUGUUGGA